rnacentral:rRNA from 1 species
UACGGGAGGCAGCAGUGGGGAAUAUUGCACAAUGGGCGAAAGCCUGAUGCAGCUAUGCCGCGUGUAUGAAGAAGGCCUUAGGGUUGUAAAGUACUUUCAUCGGGGAGGAAAAACAAAACUAAUAAUUUUAUUUCUUGACGUUACCCGAAAAAGAAGCACCGGCUAACUCCGUGCCAGCAGCCGCGGUAAUACGGAGGGUGCUAGCGUUAAUCAGAAUUACUGGGCGUAAAGAGCACGUAGGUGGUUUUUUAAGUCAGAUGUGAAAUCCCUGGGCUUAACCUAGGAACUGCAUUUUGAAACUGAAAUACUAGAGUAUCGUAGAGGGAGGUAGAAUUCUAGGUGUAGCGGUGAAAUGCGUAGAUAUCUGGAGGAAUACCUGUGGCGAAAGCGGCCUCCUAAACGAAUACUGACACUGAGGUGCGAAAGCGUGGGGAGCAAAACAGGGAGUUAGAUACC